GUACGGCCGAGUGAAGCGGCAACAGCUCAAAUUUGAAAUCUGGCCCCCCGGCCCGAGUUGUAAUUUGCAGAGGAUGCUUCUGGCGACGCGCCUUCCGAGUUCCCUGGAACGGGACGCCACAGAGGGUGAGAGCCCCGUCCGGUCGUGCGCCUAGCCUGUGUGAAGCUCCUUCGACGAGUCGAGUAGUUUGGGAAUGCUGCUCUAAAUGGGAGGUAUACGUCUUCUAAAGCUAAAUACCGGCCAGAGACCGAUAGCGCACAAGUAGAGUGAUCGAAAGAUGAAAAGCACUUUGAAAAGAGGGUUAAAUAGUACGUGAAAUUGCUGAAAGGGAAGCGCUUAUGACCAGACUUGGGCCCGGUGAAUCACCCAGCGUUCUCGCUGGUGCACUUUGCCGGCCCAGGCCAGCAUCAGUUCGCGCCGGGGGAUAAAGGCUUCGGGAAUGUAGCUCCCUCGGGAGUGUUAUAGACCGUUGCGCAAUACCCUGGGGCGGACUGAGGUACGCGUUCUGCAA
rnacentral:rRNA from 1 species